UAAGGAAUCUUCCACAAUGGGCGCAAGCCUGAUGGAGCAAUACCGCGUGCAGGAAGACGCUUUUCGGAGUGUAAACUGCUUUUAGUCGCGAAGAUUAUGACGGUAGCGACAGAAUAAGGAUCGGCUAACUACGUGCCAGCAGCCGCGGUAAUACGUAGGAUCCAAGCGUUAUCCGGAAUUACUGGGCGUAAAGCGUCUGCAGGCGGCGUAUUAGGUCGGAUGUGAAAUCUUACGGCUCAACCGUAUAGACUAUGUCUGAAACCAAUAUGCUAGAGGAUGGUAGAGGCAAGUGGAAUUUCCGGUGUAACAGUGACAUGUGUAGAUAUCGGAAGGAACACCAAUGGCGAAGGCAGCUUGCUGGGCCAUUCCUGACGCUCAGAGACGAAAGCGUGGGGAGCGA
rnacentral:rRNA from 1 species